UUUCCGUAGGUGAACCUGCGGAAGGAUCAUUAAAGAGUAAGGGUCUUCGGGCCCGAUCUCCAACCCUUUGUUUAACUACCAUGUCGCUUUGGCGGGCCCGUCUCACGACCGCCGGAAGUUUGGCUUCGACCAAACUUCUGGCCCGUGCCCGUCAGUGGCCCCUUCAAAUUCUUGAUCAAGUAUGAUGUCUUAGUUAAAAACUUAAUAGUUAAAACUUUCAACAACGGAUCUCUUGGUUCUG
rnacentral:misc_RNA from 1 species